rnacentral:rRNA from 1 species
GCAUAUCAAUAAGCGGAGGAAAAGAAACCAACAGGGAUUGCCCUAGUAACGGCGAGUGAACAGGCAAGAGCUCAGAUUUGAAAGCCUCUCGGGGCAUUGUAUUCUGAAGCCUUGAUUCUGAGAACCGGUACCUAAGUCUUCUGGAAAGGAGCGCCAAGGAGGGUGAUAGCCCCGUACGGUACUGACCUCAUUGUAGAAUCUUGGCGUGGAGUCGAGUUGUUUGGGAAUGCAGCUCAAAUGGGUGGUAUGCUCCAUCUAAAGCUAAAUAUCUGCGAGAGACCGAUAGCGAACAAGUACUGUGAAGGAAAGAUGAAAAGAACUUUGAAAAGAGAGUGAAAAAGUACGUGAAAUUGUUGAAAUGGAAGGAUAGGCCGCUAACCACGUAGAGCCGUGUCUGAGGGGAGGAUAAAAGCUGUAGAAUGUGGCUCUUCGGAGUGUUAUAGCUGCAGUGCAUACUCCCACUCGGGCGCGAGGACCUAAGGCUCUGCUAAAUGGUGGUCUAUCACCCGUCUUGAAACACGGACCA